rnacentral:misc_RNA from 1 species
UUCUUCUUCUUCUUCUUCUCUCUAUCUUAUUUCAUCACUGAUUAGGGGAAUCAACCCUAGUACCUCACACAGUAUUUGAGUAAUAUAUCAGUUUCUUUUCAUUUAGAUAUUGAAUCUUUGACUACUUCUACAAUUAAGUUUUUCUGAUCUUCCCACCGCAUGCUUUGUUGGAUCACAUACACAAAUUGUUAUUGCCAAAUAUGUUUGAGGAAAGAGGGUUAGAUUGAUAUUUACAAAGAAGUCUAUAUCUCCUAUAGUUCCUCUAAAAGCAUAUAUACCUAAUGUUGUGUCCUUUCCUAAUGAAUGUCGUAGUUACUGGUACAUGUCAAAUUGGAGAUAUAUUGCUUACUUAUGUCUCACAUACUUUAUAUAGUGGUAUAAAUUAACAUGGAGUCAAAAACCAUUUUUAUCACCACUUUACAAAGAUGCUUGCCAACGUCAUCCUAGGCCUGCCCCUUAAAUUCUUACCUCCUAUCACCUCAAUGUACUCAAUAUUUCAUAAUAGUGCAUUUCCUGGUUUACAUUGCAAAUCUUCAAAUUAUCUCAAUCUUAACUUAUCAUCAGUAGGAGUGACUUCCACCCUCCCAAUCCUGGAGGUGCAUUCAUUUCUUAUCUCGUCCAUCCUAGUAUUCCUGUACAUCUAUCUUAACAUUCUCCCUUUUACUAUGCUAAUCUUAUAAAAAUGUUGUUUCUUCUCCACCAAAUAUCAUAAUUGGUCAAGUCACAGUCUACAUAAUCUUUUCCUUCACCUUAGUUGGUAUGUUGCAAUCAUAGUACUCUUAGCACACCUAUCCACAUCAUCUAUUCUACUUUACCCUUCUCGAUUACCUAUUGCUUUGAAUGAUAGAACAUAGGCAUCUAAUCUAGAGUACGUGGGCAUUGUUGGACCUCUAUCUCAUCUAAGCAUCUAGUCUAGAGUACGUGGG